rnacentral:rRNA from 1 species
GACGAACGCUGGCGGCGUUCCUUAUCCAUUCAAGUCGACCUUAGUGGCGAACGGGUGAGUAACACGUGUGUAACCUGCCCCUCAGAAGGGGAUAACACUUGGAAACAGGUGCUAAUACCGUAUACUGAUGGAUGGACCCGCGGUGCAUUAGCUAGUUGUGUAGGUAACGGCUCACCAAGGCCAAGAUUCAUAGCCUACCUGAGAGGGUGAUCGGCCACAUUGGGACUGAGACACGGCCCAAACUCCUACGUGAGGCAGCAGUAGGGAAUCUUCGGAAAUGGACGAAAGUCUGACCGAGAAACGCCGCGUGAGUGAAGAAGGUUUUCGGAUCGUAAAACUCUGUUGUUAGAGAAGCGGUAUCUAACCAGAAAGCCACGGCUAAGUACGUGCGAGCCGCCGCGGUAAUAC